rnacentral:snRNA from 1 species
GUACUCACUUUAGCAAUACAUAUCCCCAAAUUGGAACAAUACAGAGAGCCCUAUGGUACUUGCAUGGGGAUGCCAUGCAGAUUUGUGAAGUCUUUUAUAUUUUU